rnacentral:snRNA from 1 species
UUGGUGUUGUUCCUCUAC